CUCCUACGGGAGGGAGCAGUGAGGAAUAUUGGUCAAUGGACGGAAGUCUGAACCAGCCAUGCCGCGUGAAGGAUGAAGGCGUUCUGCGUUGUAAACUUCUUUUAUCAGGGAAGAAACCUACUUUUUCUAAGGUAGUUGACGGUACCUGAGGAAUAAGCACCGGCUAACUCCGUGCCAGCAGCCGCGGUAAUACGGAGGGUGCAAGCGUUAUCCGGAUUUACUGGGUUUAAAGGGUGUGUAGGCGGGCUUUUAAGUCUGGGGUGAAAUCCCGAAGCU
rnacentral:rRNA from 1 species